rnacentral:rRNA from 1 species
CUGCCCUCGAGGUCUGACAUAACCCGUCGAAAGGACGGGCGUAACAUCAGAUGAUAUAUAAUCACGACAUCGUGGAAAUAUCAAAUCUUCGGAGCCUUGGGAUGAGCCUGCGUCUGAUUAGGUAGUUGGCGGAGUAAUAGCCCACCAAGCCUACGAUCAAUAGCUGGUCUGAGAGGAUGAUCAGCCACACUGGAACUGAGACACGGUCCAGACUCCUACGGGAGGCAGCAGUAAGGAAUAUUGCUCAAUGGGGGGAAACCCUGAAGCAGCAACGCCGCGUGAAGGAUGAAAUACUUUGUAUGUAAACUUCUGUAAGAUGGGAAAAAUAUUCUCCUCGGGAGAAUUGAUUGUACCAUCAGAGUAAGCCCCGGCUAACUACGUG